rnacentral:rRNA from 1 species
AUUGAACGCUGGCGGCAGGCCUAACACAUGCAAGUCGAGCGGAUGAAGGGAGCUUGCUCCUGGAUUCAGCGGCGGACGGGUGAGUAAUGCCUAGGAAUCUGCCUGGUAGUGGGGGAUAACGUCCGGAAACGGGCGCUAAUACCGCAUACGUCCUGAGGGAGAAAGUGGGGGAUCUUCGGACCUCACGCUAUCAGAUGAGCCUAGGUCGGAUUAGCUAGUUGGUGGGGUAAAGGCCUACCAAGGCGACGAUCCGUAACUGGUCUGAGAGGAUGAUCAGUCACACUGGAACUGAGACAAGGUCCAGACUCCUACGGGAGGCAGCAGUGGGGAAUAUUGGACAAUGGGCGAAAGCCUGAUCCAGCCAUGCCGCGUGUGUGAAGAAGGUCUUCGGAUUGUAAAGCACUUUAAGUUGGGAGGAAGGGCAGUAAGUUAAUACCUUGCUGUUUUGACGUUACCAACAGAAUAAGCACAGGCUAACUUCGUG